CACCCUUCAAUGUGGAACGAAGGAAGUUGCUAAGGAACACCCUAAAAUCAUAGAUGCCCCAUAGCCAAGUACUGGUUUUGAAUGAGGCCUUUUAUCUCUUGAAGACAGUUCAGAGGUGUAACCCUUGUAUUGGUUUAAUGACAAUCAUUGCCUUCACAGGUCAUGAAGUUGUGGUGGCUUCUACCUUCAGCAGCUGGCAUAUUUUUCCCAAGAUGUUGUUUCCUCAGCUUCUGCUAUACUUCUUUGGCUGUUUGUGUGGACACCAUGCAAAGACCUCUCAAUGCUGACCUACAAUGAUGGUAAGGGCAAUGGAAGAUUGGUCCUGAGGUCCCUGGUUUGACUGGUGCUGUGGCCAUGACAUCUACGUAUGCAGCACAGUGCAUUACUUGAUAUUAAAUUCUGUGUUCAUGUUUCUGCUCUAGGUAGUACUACUCAAUCCAAAAUAACACCCUUCUCGACCUGGAUCAGAUGGGUUACCAAACAGACUGAUGGACUGAUACAGCUCAACAGUUCCUAUUUGAUUGCUCAUGUUUUUUCUUCUAUGUUUUUUUUUCCUCCACUUUAGUUACAAUACAGUAAACAGGAGUUAGGUGUUCCCAAUCAAGCUUUCCUCACCUCCCAGCAUAACUUGGAAAUUCUAGGAGGUAAAUUGUCUGCAUUAUUUCAAAGCUUUCCCUGCUUCGUGAGUGACAGAGUCACAGUGUGUCUAUCACUGAAGGAAGCUGAGAAGUUCUAAAGGCUGACUUCCUCACCAUCUCUUUUGUGGAACUGUCCAAGAAAUGUGAUUCAUGGGGAAAAACAGAUGACGUACAUGGGGAGAAAAAGCAGUUGAGCUUUCUGACCCAUCUCAUGCCUGAAACAUGGUCUGAGGAAGAUUGUGGGUGUAUGUCAGCUUGUCCAUCCGUCUAAUAAGAGCCAAUGGCUAUGAAGACUGAAAUCACCCCUCCACCCUGGUCCCAGGCCCAUGUGCUUCUUUCCAGGCUGUUUUGAGGCAUUGAACAUCUCCCCUAUAUUUUGUUUUCGGAUUUGUUCUAUAAUUGUGGCUCUUACACCAUAAACUAGCAACUA